rnacentral:rRNA from 1 species
UACGAAGGGGGCUAGCGUUGUUCGGAAUUACUGGGCGUAAAGCGCGCGCAGGCGGUCCUUCAAGUCAGAGGUGAAAGCCCAGAGCUCAACUCUGGAAUGGCCUUUGAGACUAGAGGACUUGGGUACGGGAGAGGUGAGUGGAAUUCCGAGUGUAGAGGUGAAAUUCGUAGAUAUUCGGAAGAACACCAGUGGCGAAGGCGGCUCACUGGCUCGUAUCUGACGCUCAGGCGCGACAGCGUGGGGAUCAAACAGG